AGUCCUACGGGGGCAGCAGUGGGGAAUAUUGCACAAUGGGCGCAAGCCUGAUGCAGCCAUGCCGCGUGUAUGAAGAAGGCCUUCGGGUUGUAAAGUACUUUCAGCAGUGAGGAAGGUGGGUAUGUUAAUAGCAUACUCAUUUGACGUUAGCUGCAGAAGAAGCACCGGCUAACUCCGUGCCAGCAGCCGCGGUAAUACGGAGGGUGCGAGCGUUAAUCGGAAUUACUGGGCGUAAAGCGCAUGCAGGUGGUUUGUUAAGUCAGAUGUGAAAGCCCGGGGCUCAACCUCGGAAUUGCAUUUGAAACUGGCAAACUAGAGUACUGUAGAGGGGGUAGAAUUUCAGGUGUAGCGGUGAAAUGCGUAGAGAUCUGAAGGAAUACCGGUGGCGAAGGCGGCCCCCUGGACAGAUACUGACACUCAGAUGCGAAAGCGUGGGGAGCAAACAGGAUUAGAUACCCUGGUAG
rnacentral:rRNA from 1 species